CUGCCUCACACUGGGGGAUAACAGUUAGAAAUAGCUGCUAAUACCGCAUAAGUCCGCAUGGAAAAAACUCCGGUGGUGUGAGAUGGACCCGCGUCUGAUUAGCCAGUUGGCGGGGUAACGGCCCACCAAAGCGACGAUCAGUAGCCGGCCUGAGAGGGUGAACGGCCACAUUGGGACUGAGACACGGCCCAAACUCCUACGGGAGGCAGCAGUGGGGAAUAUUGCACAAUGGGGGAAACCCUGAUGC
rnacentral:rRNA from 1 species